GAUGAACGCUGGCGGCGUGCCUAAUACAUGCAAGUCGAGCGAACAGACGAGGAGCUUGCUCCUCUGACGUUAGCGGCGGACGGGUGAGUAACACGUGGAUAACCUACCUAUAAGACUGGGAUAACUUCGGGAAACCGGAGCUAAUACCGGAUAACAUUUUGAACCGCAUGGUUCAACAGUGAAAGACGGUUUUGCUGUCACUUAUAGAUGGAUCCGCGCCGCAUUAGCUAGUUGGUAAGGUAACGGCUUACCAAGGCAACGAUGCGUAGCCGACCUGAGAGGGUGACCGGCCAAACUGGAACGGAGCAACGGUCCAGACUCCUAGGGGAGGAAGCAGCAGGGAAUCUUCCGAAAUGGGCGAAGGCUUGACGGAGCAACGCGGCGGGGGUGAAGAAGGUCUUCGGAUCGUAAAACUCUGUUAUUAGGGAAGAACAAAGGGGUAAGUAGCUAUGCACGUCUUGACGGUACCUAAUCAGAAAGCCACGGCGAACUACGU
rnacentral:rRNA from 1 species